rnacentral:rRNA from 1 species
GGAAGUAAAAGUCGUAACAAGGUUUCCGUAGGUGAACCUGCGGAAGGAUCAUUGUCGAAUCCUGAAUAACAGUGCCACUAGUGAACCAGUUCAUAAACACGGGAUCGGAUCAAGUGUGCGGAGUUUCCACGCAUUUGAAUCGGACCUAUCCGCACCAGGGUCAUUUGACCCUUGUGCUUAACAAACCCCCGGCGCGAGAAGCGUCAAGGAAUACUACUAACAAGGGCUUCAUCCAUCCUCUCCCGAACUCGGGGCCCUGGGGAUUGGAGAGAGCUUCUUUAUAAACUAAAACGACUCUCGGCAACGGAUAUCUCGGCUCUCGCAUCGAUGAAGAACGUAGCGAAAUGCGAUACUUGGUGUGAAUUGCAGAAUCCCGUGAACCAUCGAGUCUUUGAACGCAAGUUGCGCCUGAAGCCAUUAGGCUAAGGGCACGUCUGCCUGGGCGUCACGCAUCGCGUCACCCCCUCACACUUCCGUGGGAUGGGGUGGAAUGUGACCUCCUGUACCCAAGGUGCAGCUGGUCAAAAUUUGAGUCCGGAGACUAGGACGUCACGACAAGUGGUGGUUGGAUAACAACUCGCGUCAUGUCGUGUCCCGAACCUUUGGUGACCGUCUAGACCCUAUUGCACUCGCUAUGCUUCUCCUCGGAGAGUGAGCUCGUGCUACGACCGCGACCCCAGGUCAGGCGGGAUUACCCGCUGAAUUUA